ACUAACUCCUCCAGUAUGUGUUGAUGUGAAGUAGCUAGUUUGUUAGCUAAGCUAGCCACUUUAGCAAGCCCGUAACUCCUCCAGUAUGUGUUGAUGUCAUUUCACUGGAUAUAUUUUUGGAUGAAAGCUGUGGAGAUCGGAAAUUUCCACGACAUUUGGCGACGAGGAUGGGAUGUGAAUCUUUACUGGGUGACCUUUCCUGAUGAUCUUGGUAAAUAAAUUGUGCACGAGGGAUCCCUCAAACUUGGGAUCUUAGGGAAACCACACUUCGGGAACAAAGCAGAUUGACCAACCUUUGAUCUGAGUGCAAGCGAGCCGAGUGGAUACCACAUCUCAAGUUUUUUUUAAAGAAAGAGGAUUCCUUCUUCCGGGACGGAUGGAAGUUAUCUAAAAGAUGGAAGUUGAAGGAGCCAUGGGAGAACACGUCUACAUUUUUAUUAAAUGCGUGGGAUUAAAUUACUGAUAUCUUACACUGAGAAAUGUACUACAUUUGCGACAGAGGAAAACGUAUUACAUUUAGAUAGUAAGGAUAAUUGUAUCUAAGGGUAACAUGUUCAAUGAACCAUACAGUACAUAUACAUUGAUGUUGAUUACAACUUAUGAUUCAUGAUGUGAGGUACAGUGAAAUUAUCAUUAGGUUUGGUUUAUAGUUCACUUUUGAAAUUCUGAAUCGAUGUAGUGUAAUGAAUACUAACAAAGUGUUUUGUGUUUUUCUGGGAAAAUGGGUGUUUCAUUGUCUCUCUUUGAAAUGUUUCCUGGGACUAUAAUCUUGGGGAGAGUGAGUGAGAUUGAGGCCAUAAAUGACCAAAUUGAAAAGGGCCUGGAAGUUUUGUUUUUACCUUAAGGUUUGCAAAUACACACACAUAAAACAUUUGUUAUGACUAUUUGUUGGUGUUUUUAAAAUACUAUGAUGAUUUGUUUUUUAUUUCCUUUGGGUUUGGUGAGUUUUCCAUUUGUUUUAGUGGAAAGUUUUGUGAUAAAGGAAUGUUCUGGGAACCUGGGAUACAACAUGUAGGAACUAUUUGACUAUUGUUUGCAAUUUGUCUAAUAUAGUAAAAACAAAUAUUUGAAGGGUUUUGUAUAACCUAUGACCUCUAUGAUGACCUUCCGUUGUGGCUUGAUCACCCGCAUUGGAAAGCCAUUUGGAUAAUGAAUUUAUGGUAAUUUGUAAUACUGCUUUCAAGAUAAUUUGUGUAAUUGAUAAAUAUGUUUGAGUUUAUAGCUCUUAGCCAUAUUUGUAAUUUAGACCACUGUAAAGAAGGAGAGAGCAUUGCUUUUAAAUAAGGGUAUGUGGCUUUAAGUCUAUUUUCCUAUGACCAUUUGGGUUAAAUCAUUUUUCUUUGUGGGUUUUUUUCAGUUCAGUGAUUAUAAUUUGAUUAGGUUAUUUGAAUUCUAUUGUUUUAUUUUUUUCCAGUAGUAGUUUUUUUUUUUUUACAUUACUCACAUACGGAGAGAUAUGUGUAAAAAAUGGGGGAGGAUUCAGUUUUUUGUAGGUUUUGAAUUGAAGUUUAUACACCUUGAGUGAUAUGUGAAGGAGUGUAUUGUAUUGUAUUGUUGUGUUUGUUUUGUUCUAUUCCCGAGGGGUAUAGGUCUAAUUUAUUGAUCCUUGGCUCUACAAUGGAUUUGACAGUGAGAUGGGGAGUAUAAACCAAUUUGAAAGAAUAGUUUCAAUAGAAUGUGUUGUUAUUAUCUUUGAAAUAUGUUAAGCUAUAUGUAUUAAGUAAUACUUUAUCAUGUAGGUUAAUGAAAUGAACUAAACUGUUGUUCUGAUCUGUUCUUUCGAGGUUCUCAUGAAAAGUGACAUCAGACGGUAUCUUAAUGCAUGGAAGAGAUAAUUGGACCGAAUAGUGUGUGUACCUCAAAACCCCCUCUAACUGGCUGAAGAAGUGACAAAGGCGUUGAAGAAGCCCCUUCCGAACCACUUCUACCGAGAGAAAGGAACCAAGCCAGAAAUUGGUAUACAGUAUCAGAUAUAAGCUAUCAACUGCUUUUCUUUCAUGCUUCUCUCAGGAGUGUGAGACGACAGUCCACAUGGAGUGAUCAUGAAGAGAGAUCUGUUCUAACCUUUUCUUGUGAUACUGGUAUAUUGGUUGACGAAUGGACAAGACAUAAUGAGUGGUAAAGAUGAGACAUUGACAUUGGAUCAUUAUCAUGGGCCAUCCACUUUGAACUGUAUAGCUAUCUGAAAAAGAACGAAAAGGACGCCUGAAGAAUCAGUGCCUGAGAGGGGGGGUUGGUCAACUGUGCCAAUACAUUUUUUUUAUACUUUUGUGGUAUCAGGUUGAUUGUCGAGGUCUACACCAUGUAAAAUUAUAGUAAUUUAGAUUAAGAAUGCAUUGAGAUACCGAUCUGUAUUAUAAUCAUGAUUAAAAAAGUUAAUGGUAGAAUUAUGGGAUAAUUAUACUGAAUGUAUGUAAAAUCUGCUAAUAUUGAUGUGUGUUAAAUUGAGGUUUUUACUUUGAGUGAUAAGACCAAUUUGAAUCACUGAGGUAUGUCAUUGUAAAUUUUGGUUGGAUAAAUAGUUGGGUUGUUAAUUAUGAUUUGGAAUAUGAAUGAUUUCCCUGACAUAUUCUCUAUUCCUGACUACAUCUCUGAGCAUGAGGACUUAGAGGGAUGUCUGUCCUAUAUGUUGUGAGGAGGUCUGUGAUGAGAUACUAGUUCUCAUGUAAUUUAGGGAGCAUUUCUAUGUUAUGUUAUUAUUUUCCUCAAAUGGAUUAUUCUGUGUUCUUAAACAUGUGCAAGUUUGUCUUGUAGAAUAAAGGUUGUAAACUUAGUUUCAGGAGGGAGAAAAUGUACAUAAGCUAAGGUAUUUGACAUUGAGGGUAUUUUAUUUUUUAUUUUAUUUUAAAUAUUGAGUAUGUAAUCAAUGUUCUGAUUUUCCAGAAGGAACAAUAUCCCUGAGAGGGGAAUGUGGUAGCAGAAUCAGAAUCCUUUAGGUAACAUUGAUAAAUAAGUUUAUAAAUAUGUUUUAUCAAUUUUCAUAAGUAUGCUUAUCAGGCUUGUCUUCGUAUGUAAACGUAUAUUUUAAACCAUGUGAAGGGAUGAUUGAGGGGGAACCAAUUAUCUCUUGGCUCCACAAUGUCUGUGUGCCAGUCACUCCCUUAUUUCCCAUUGGGGGGAUGAGGAUGGCAGUGUCUGGAACCACUGUAUGUUCCCUCUGAGGUUGCCCUUAUCUUGCUUGACCUAGAGGCUCACUCUUCUCUCUGUAAGCUUGUCCAGGAGGGGUUGUAUUUUUUUAUGGGAGUAUCUAGAAACUGACAAUUGAUAUGACAAAUGCCAUUGGAUAAGGUAAUAUUUUGGUUCUAAGUGGUACCAAGAAUGAUAUAGGAACAUAGUUUAGGAGACCAAACUGAACUAUAAUUUAUAGCCAAUGCUGUCUGGCUAUGUGUGUCUUUGCUAUAAAGGAUAUCAGUUGCCAUUUUGUAAGCACUCAGAUAAUUAAUUUAUGGACACUGAACUGAUCUGAGAGUCACAGUGCUAUGGUGAAGCUCAUAUAAUUAAAGAUGGACUUUAUGAUA